GUGACAAGUGACAACUGAACUGACUGACAAUGACAAUCUCGAACAAACAAUGAUUGAUUGUUAUUUUUUUGGGGGUAAUUGGUUUUUAUCUCCAAAAAUACAACAUAAUAUAAAGUAAAACCACACAAUAAAUUUUAUUAAGAAUAAUAAUACAUUUCAGUAGUAGUAACAAGGAGUAUAAGUAUGGCCUCUCAAGAAGUCUAUUCAUUCAGCAUCAGAUUUCGACGGAAAGAUUUUCUCCAGGAAAGGCUUUAGCUAGUCCAUCGACACAAUCCUGCGGCGGCGCCCAUCCAAUGCCUUAAUGACGAUGACGCCAUCCUGAUUCCAACAAAAAUGCAUUCCGACGUGCAUAGCCAUGCAUUGGUGAAUAAUCUUCGUUCCAGCAAAAACACCGAAAGUGGUGAAGGGAGGGCGUAUAAGGGGCCGUCUUUUGUAAAUUUUGACGUUCAAAAACUGCUGUUUUGCAGCCAAGUUUUAAUAAAUGAUUUUGAAUUUGAUGUACUGCCUUGAUUUUGGUGGCUCUGAAACCAGUCAGCCUUCCAAGUAGUCGACUCGGCAUCCCAACUAGAAAAUCUCACAAUAUCGGGCCAUGCACGAACUUUACUGUCAAGUUGGAGGGCAACUUUUAUAUUAAACACUGUUAUGCCUUAUUUGCUGCUAGGACACCAAGUACUAUGGAAGAGCAGUCAUCAUUCUCUGCUUCAGGAAGCCCUUGCCUUUCGGCAAUGCAUUAUCUCCAACCUAUCAAUGUGCAGCACACUCUUAGCGAUCUGCUUUCUAAGCAAACCCAAGACAUUGAAGAUAAAGUCACUGAAAGGCCGGAACUCAGCAACCUUAGCCACAGCUUCCUUGGCAGCUCCUGCAGCCUGAAUUUGAGCUCUCAAGUUGGUCCAUCUUCUGGUUAAUAUUCUCCCCCCUCUGUAUCAACAGUAUCUCCGAUUGUUCUUCCUUGUUAUAUUUAUUGUGAAUUUUUGUUAACAGUUUUCUAAGUGCAGGCGUUGAUGGUGAUUUUGUAAGUGAUAUGUAGUACUUGAUCAAGUUAAAUGUAAGUUCCCAAAUGUAAAAACCUAAUAAUUAAGUUUAAUUGCUAAAUCAAACUUUAAUUGCAUUAAAUAUAUUUUCAAACGACUCAGA